rnacentral:lncRNA from 1 species
GUGGAGCUGGAAAGGUGGAGGCGGAAGUGACUGAUCAAUUCAGGGGUGUGGGGUUCGUUUAGGUUUUGCCCUGUGUAUGACCUCUUUUGGAGCCAUGAAACCAGCCUCAAGCUUUAUUCUAGGGAGAUGAGCAAAGCAGACCUUGGUGGCCAGAGGGAGCCCUCAGGUAGAGCUGCAGAUGCUGGCAGUUUGUGUUAGAAGGUUCCGGGGCUAAACAGAUGUCUAGAAUUAGCUACCAAAAGGUAAAUUGUAGACUCUGCUCUUCAACAAGAAGCAGAAGGAUUAGGAAUUCAAACAAUACUAUUUUACAGUGGCUUUUCUACAAUAUAAAGAUGGAAAUGGGAUGAAGAUGUUCAUUGCAAAUUAGGAAAGCUCUUCCACAAGUUCACCAAUGGAAAU